UACGAAGGGGGCUAGCGUUGCUCGGAAUCACUGGGCGUAAAGGGCGCGUAGGCGGCCAUUCAAGUCGGGGGUGAAAGCCUGUGGCUCAACCACAGAAUUGCCUUCGAUACUGUUUGGCUUGAGUAUGGUAGAGGUUGGUGGAACUGCGAGUGUAGAGGUGAAAUUCGUAGAUAUUCGCAAGAACACCGGUGGCGAAGGCGGCCAAACUGGACCAUUACUGACGCUGAGGCGCGAAAGCGUGGGGAGCAAACAGG
rnacentral:rRNA from 1 species